rnacentral:rRNA from 1 species
UACGUAGGGUGCGAGCGUUUGUCCGGAAUUACUGGGCGUAAAGAGCUCGUAGGUGGUUUGUCGCGUUGUUCGUGAAAACUCACAGCUUAACUGUGGGCGUGCGGGCGAUACGGGCAGACUGGAGUACUGCAGGGGAGACUGGAAUUCCUGGUGUAGCGGUGGAAUGCGCAGAUAUCAGGAGGAACACCGGUGGCGAAGGCGGGGUCUCUGGGCAGUAAACUGACGCUGGAGAAGCGAAAGCGUGGGGAGCGAACAGG